UUUUAGCCCUGAUCGGAGCGGGCAUCCCGAUUUUUUCUAUCGGGAUAAAGUGGAGAGCAGGACUAACU
rnacentral:sRNA from 1 species